CCUUCGAUAGCUCAGUUGGUAGAGCGGGGCGGGGGACUGUAGAUUUAUAAUUGUGAUCCCUAGGUCGCUGGUUCGAAUCCGGCUCGAAGGA
rnacentral:tRNA from 2 species